CUUGCGGCUUUUUCUCUUCCACGAUUCUCAGCACAGAGACAUGACUCCUUCCCUGCCAAAGAAGAUUGAAUUUCCAAACAUAUUAGACUCUUCCUUUCCAAUUCACUUUGCCUCUGUUUCUGAUUCAUUAUCCCUAAUUCGGUUUCCACCUCCAAAAACACCAUUGUUACUCACUCAACAAUCACUAUUGAAUUUUGUCUUUUGAAAUCAACCUCUUCAAACUUCUGUUAACAUACAAAGUGGAUGAAAGAAGUAAGAAAAAAGUGUUAUCUUCAAUUUGUUCAAAAUGGAGGACAUUCAAGAAAGAACUUACCAAGUACAUACGUGAAAACAAAUCCAAAUCCUGAGAUCAUAUCAAAACCACCAGCAAUUUAUGGAUUCGUUGAACAAAGACAUUGAGACUCAUUUCUUGAAAGGCGACUAUUAGAAGAGUUUGAGAUUUUGACUCACAUUCAGAAAUGGAGACGAAGUCAAAAUAAGUAUAACCAUAGAAUCAGUCGAAAGGGCUACGCUCGCUUUCAAGAAGACUAUAAACAUAAUACUGAAUCUACUGAAGAUUUGGACGGAAGCAUUUUAUGGAAAAAAGGCUCGUUAAAAUCAAAAUGGAGAAUAUGAUGACAAGACAAUUGUGGAACAAGCUACGAAAAUUGUAAGAUAUUUGUGUGUACUUAUUGCAUUUAUUUUAUACUCCUUCAAUUGUUCAUCUUUAUAGUAAUGUAAUGUUAUAGGAUGAGUUGACUAAACAAAAAAGUGAUGGGAGUUUAACAACUGAAGGAUGUAAUGACAUUCUUACUAUGGCAUUGUUGUACCCUUAAUAUUUUAGUCAAGUAAAGGGUGUAGGAAAUUCUGUCACACCUAGCACCUACUUUCACUUGCUUAAACGUGGGAAUCAGUUACAUUAAGAGAAGAAAUACAAUGAUCUGGCGGUACAAUUGCAAGCUAGGCUCAGUGCAGUAGAACAACAAACACCACAUACACCACAAUCUGAACAUGCUAGUUCAAACACCUUGAGAAAUGGUGAUGCAGGAAAUUUUGAGCCUGAUUUUCUCUCAACAAAAAACAAGAUGAGAACUAAGGAUGGCAUUCCACCCCAAGCAAAGAUCAUAAAGGUGUGUAGCAUUAGAACACCUAAAGUUGUUAUAUUUUCUAAUACCAUUGGUGAUAUUCUUAGUUCUUUUAUUGUUAUCUUCUUGUAUGUUAUAGAGCAAAUGUUCAAACACAUUGAAAAGUGGUGAAUGGUGAGUACUACCUUGUUUAGGUAUUCUUUUACUAUGAAUGGUGAGUUCUGAAUUACAGGUAGUCCUCAUGUUCAUCAUGGUGAAACCUCAAGGGGAAUAAGCACUUUACUGUAUUACAUCAUUUAAUGCACUUGUGGGGCUAAUAGUGUCAUUUUUGUCUAAAGCCAAAAAAAGCCUCUACAAUUUAGCCACCCUCCACCCUCCCAAUCCUUUCCCCCCCUUAGCCGAUUAAUUCUAAUGUUGUUAUCUUCGUAUUUAUUGUAGAGCAAAUGUUCAAACACCUUGAAGAGUGAUGAUAAAGGCAAUUUUCAACUUGAUUGUGUCUCACAAGACAAUAGGUUGAGAACUAAGUAUAACAUUCCACCUCAAGAUCCUAAACAAAAUAAGAGAAAGGGCAAACCGUGUAAACUUGCAGUAGGUUAUAUUGAAACUAUUGUUGCUCACGGUACGGUAUAUGAGAGAAUUGAACCCAAUGAAGUCAUUCUUACGGUGCCAUUAGGAGAAUCCAAUGUAUGUAUGUCUAUUCAAGUUGUUAUAGUAAAAAGAUGUUCCUCUUCCUAUACCUAUUCCAAAUGAGAUACUUAUUGUUGGAGAAGCAAUAGGAUUUUUUGUUGCUUAGACCAAAAAUCUUGCAUUAGUUGGUGAUGAGGAAAAAUAUUCAAAAAUCUUGUAUUACAUUUUCCUAAAAAUAUUUUGACUUCUGAAAUUUUCUUUUGUAAAAAUUUAUGAAACUA